CCCUAGAAGACAGAGAGACAGUUCUUAAAGAGAGUGGCUCCAAGCCAGGUCCUGGGAGCCGGGAGCACAGCCAACUCACAGGAAGAACAUUGUAACAGCUAGCCAAUAGCAAAGAAGAUGCCACCCUGACGGGUUUUGGCCAAUGAGUGAAGAGAAUGCUAUCUUCUCCGCCUAACCCCAGGAGAGGAGGGCUGGGCUAUGAGAGGAGAGAGUACUCUGAGGGGGUCUGUUGGUCUCUGGGCGCUAUGAUACCUCCUCUAAGGUGCCCAAGAGCAUCAUACCACACGUUGGCACAGCUGGUUUUGUGACCUUCUUUACCCAACCCCUCUUUCUCUUAACAUGGGGUAGCCCCAGCUGACUGAUGAUAUGAGGAAGCUUUGGAGUACCAGGAAGGGAGUCCUGAAAUAUGUCAUCCUGGCUAGUUCUCUGCCCUCCACUGCUUGCCUCUUUUCCCCUCCCUCUUUUCAGCCUCCUGUUCCUCCUUUCCUCCCCCAUCCUGUUCCUCCAUGCUGGGCUCCUCCCCCUGUCCCCUGUCUCUUCCCCCCUUUGGCCGAAUCUCCCCUCCUUUCUAGUCCCAUCUCUCCACCUAAUUCCUUCACUUCGCACCUCCCAGGUCUGGGGCUCUUCCUCACUUCUGGAGAGUGUGAGGUCGGAAUCCAGCCGCAGCCUGAGGCAGCAGGCCUCCUCUUGCCCGUCACAGACACCGACAGGCACUCUACAAAGACCCUGCCUUCCAGUCCCUAGCUAACAGAGUUCCAGGGACCAGGAGCUCUCACCUGGGAAGUGAGUUUAUGUCAAGGAACACGGCUUGACACGUGCCAUUGGAGACGAUGGAGAGGUUGAGGCAUUGGAGCCGGUCCGGGAAUGGUUCUGGGCAUGGAAGAUGGGUGAUAUCAGUGAUGGAGAUGAUGGGUAAGGUAGACCCUCUGAGAUCCCUACUAUGGGGCUACAUUCUUCCCAAGGACAUUUGAUAUAAAUUUAUACCUCUCCACUCAACUUCACUGCAAUCCUAAAUAUUCUCAGUUUCGUGACUCAGUCCCAUGGUCACCCUUGUCCCCAGGCCGCAGGCCUGGUCCUUUGACCUUUGACUUCAUUAGCUCUUGAUCCCAGCCUCACUUCAUGUCUUCCAUCUCCUGAAGCCAUGUCCUUAGUUUCACUUUAACCUCAGAUCUCAGUUCCACAUCGUUCAAAUAUUCACUUACUUCAUCUUAACUCAAAAAAAAAAAAAAAAAAGUCUUCCGAUUUCAGGUCAUUUGACCCCAAAUUCCAUGCCACAAAAACCCUGGCCCAAACCAAAUAUGACAUGAGGAAGAUUCUGACUAGAUUGUGAUCCAGUGACCUCAGCUUCCCAUCUCUAGUAGGGAUGGAAUUUAGGACCUAAGGACUCUACCACUGAGCCACAUCUACAGACAUUUUUACUUUUUAUUUUGAGACAGGCUCUUAUUCUAUAACAUAGGCUGACCUUGAACUUUCUGCCCUCUUACCUCAGCCUAUGGUACCUAGGAUUGGAGGCCCAGCAAUACCAGCUCUGUAAUGACCUCUAACACCUGAGCCCAUGAAUCAGAUGCCCUGAUGACCCCUGGCAUUACUCUGACCUCUGAUCACAACUCUGACCCCUGGCUUCUGACUCCAUACUCAAUCCCUUAAUCUCUGUGACUCUAAAGACCCACCUUACCAUGACCUUUGACGCUGCUUAAAGUGAACAACUUGAUCUCUUACCCUACAUCCCUCACCCCCAACCUCAGGACCCUCUUACCCCAUGGCUUGUUUGUGGUACCCCAUCCUGAAAUAUGACACCUGGUCCCCAUAGGUGCACAGGAAGUGGGCAGGGCCAGGGGCCGGACAGCAUGGGUCAGGCGGACCGGUCUGCCCAGCCGCAGGAGUCGAAGAUCAUGCUCAUGGUUCCGAUGGGCACCCUGGUAGCUGGGGUGUGUCAUGGAGAAGGUGGUGAGCCUCAGUUGCUCCGUCCAGUCCAGCUUGCUGAGGCUGUGCUCUCCAAGGCGCACCACGUACCUGAGGGUGCAGCUGGUCAGUGGGUGGCAGAUGGGCCGUUUACCUCUCUCUGUUUCUCUCUCUCAGCCUCUGGGUCUCUGCUCCCCGUCAACUACGCAUGUUGGGCUUCUACUCCCAUGGCCUCUUUGACGGCAGAUGUCAUGGGGCAGGGAUGUCUUCUGCUAUACCUUCUGCCGUAAUUAUCCCCACAGCCAGCACCAGCAAUGCUACCAGGACUGUGACUGGGCAAUGGAUAAGGAAGACACCUCUGUCCUACAUGGAGCUUCUUGGUCCCUUGACACCUGGCUCCCCUUUUACAGCUAGUCCAGGCCUAGAAAGUGGACCAGCUGAGGUCUGGGGAGAGGGUUCAGUGGGUGUCCUGGUUAGUGUUUUUGUCUACUUAAGGUAUGCACCACCAACAGGCACAAGGAAGCUAUGCUAAAGAGACACUAAUGUCUGUCAGAUUAUUGGAACAAUAGACCCCAAGGAAAUGGGAAUCCCCACACACUCCAGGAACCUCACGCCGGGGGAAGGAAAAGGUGCCGACCAGAGGGGUAACCUGUCUCGGGAAAGAGAUUUCCAGCAGUUCUAAGAGCUGGUCAGACCACCUCACAGUGGAGACUGGAGCCCAGACCGUGAUGGGUCAGUGGUGGGCUGCACCACGUCUUGGACUGCUUAGAAAUGCACAUUGUUAGCCCUCUGUUUACACUGCAGUCUCACUUCAGGAUCCCGAAGAUGGAUUAGAGGGGGUCAACUGCGUCUAUUUGUCCAGUUCCCAAAGGGGCCACAGUGAAUAAAUCUCCUUCCUAGUA